GCCCUACGGGGCGCAGCAGUGGGGGAUAUUGCACAAUGGGGGGAACCCUGAUGCAGCGACGCCGCGUGGGUGAAGAAGCGCCUCGGCGCGUAAAGCCCUGUCAGCAGGGAAGAAAAUGACGGUACCUGAAGAAGAAGCCCCGGCUAACUACGUGCCAGCAGCCGCGGUAAUACGUAGGGGGCAAGCGUUAUCCGGAUUUACUGGGUGUAAAGGGCGUGUAGCCGGGUUGACAAGUCAGAUGUGAAAUCCUGCGGCUUAACCGCAGAACUGCAUUUGAAACUGUUGAUCUUGAGUCCUG
rnacentral:rRNA from 1 species